rnacentral:rRNA from 1 species
AUGAACGCUAGCUACAGGCUUAACACAUGCAAGUCGAGGGGCAUCAGGAAGAAAGCUUGCUUUCUUUGCUGGCGACCGGCGCACGGGUGAGUAACACGUAUCCAACCUGCCCUUUACUCGGGGAUAGCCUUUCGAAAGAAAGAUUAAUACCCGAUNGCAUAAUGAUUCCGCAUGGUUUCAUUAUUAAAGGAUUCCGGUAAAGGAUGGGGAUGCGUUCCAUUAGGUUGUUGGUGAGGUAACGGCNCACCAAGCCUUCGAUGGAUAGGGGUUCUGAGAGGAAGGUCCCCCACAUUGGAACUGAGACACGGUCCAAACUCCUACGGGAGGCAGCAGUGAGGAAUAUUGGUCAAUGGGCGCUAGCCUGAACCAGCCAAGUAGCGUGAAGGAUGAAGGCUCUAUGGGUCGUAAACUUCUUUUAUAUAAGAAUAAAGUGCAGUAUGUAUACUGUUUUGUAUGUAUUAUAUGAAUAAGGAUCGGCUAACUCCGUGCCAGCAGCCGCGGUAAUACGGAGGAUCCGAGCGUUAUCCGGAUUUAUUGGGUUUAAAGGGAGCGUAGGUGGACUGGUAAGUCAGUUGUGAAAGUUUGCGGCUCAACCGUAAAAUUGCAGUUGAUACUGUCAGUCUUGAGUACAGUAGAGGUGGGCGGAAUUCGUGGUGUAGCGGUGAAAUGCUUAGAUAUCACGAAGAACUCCGAUUGCGAAGGCAGCUCACUGGACUGCAACUGACACUGAUGCUCGAAAGUGUGGGUAUCAAACAGGAUUAGAUACCCUGGUAGUCCACACAGUAAACGAUGAAUACUCGCUGUUUGCGAUAUACAGUAAGCGGCCAAGCGAAAGCAUUAAGUAUUCCACCUGGGGAGUACGCCGGCAACGGUGAAACUCAAAGGAAUUGACGGGGGCCCGCACAAGCGGAGGAACAUGUGGUUUAAUUCGAUGAUACGCGAGGAACCUUACCCGGGCUUAAAUUGCAGUGGAAUGAUGUGGAAACAUGUCAGUGAGCAAUCACCGCUGUGAAGGUGCUGCAUGGUUGUCGUCAGCUCGUGCCGUGAGGUGUCGGCUUAAGUGCCAUAACGAGCGCAACCCUUAUCUUUAGUUACUAACAGGUUAUGCUGAGGACUCUAGAGAGACUGCCGUCGUAAGAUGUGAGGAAGGUGGGGAUGACGUCAAAUCAGCACGGCCCUUACGUCCGGGGCUACACACGUGUUACAAUGGGGGGUACAGAAGGCAGCUAGCGGGUGACCGUAUGCUAAUCCCAAAAUCCUCUCUCAGUUCGGAUCGAAGUCUGCAACCCGACUUCGUGAAGCUGGAUUCGCUAGUAAUCGCGCAUCAGCCACGGCGCGGUGAAUACGUUCCCGGGCCUUGUACACACCGCCCGUCAAGCCAUGGGAGCCGGGGGUACCUGAAGUACGUAACCGCAAGGAUCGUCCUAGGGUAAAAC